rnacentral:lncRNA from 1 species
UCAAAUGACAUCCAUCUCCCUCACUCUCUCUCACACGUUUCCUUCACUCACUAAAAAAACAAAAGAAAAGGAGGAGGCCACUGCCACUCUCUCAUAAGCAUAUAUUUUGGCACCAGUAAGAAGAAAGAAAUAAAAAAAAUAAAAAAGGCACCCAUUGGCCACGUUACCCUUCUCUCUCUUAAGAGAGAAAAACGAAAAGGAAAAGAAAACAAGAACAGGACCCUUCCUCUUCUUUCUCCAAACACGCUCCACGCACAACCCAUCCGUCGUCG